rfam:Brachypodium distachyon strain Bd21 chromosome 3, whole genome shotgun sequence.
CAGGAUACCCAUUGACCCUCUUUAGUUCCACCAAAUGAACUAAAAUUUCAAAAUGACAUAACUUUUUGGAAAACUAGUUCAUUUGUUUGAACUAAGGAGAGUCAACGGGUACCCUG